rnacentral:ribozyme from 13 species
AGAAGGAGAAGAAGAAGAAGAAGAGAAAGAAGAGAAAGAAGAAGAAGCAUGCGGAACAGGCCGUGACAACCACUUAUUUGUCAACUUGCUCCUCACCCCAAUCACCUUCACCUCUUCUCUCUCUCUCCCUUUCUCUCUUUCUCUCUCUUUCUCUUGGGUGAAUUUCGUGAGA